AACCAGGCACGCGGAUAACGGAAGACUUGUUACCAAGCAACGAGGUGUCGGCGGGAGCGUUAAACAAGACAGGUCGAGACCUGGCUUCAACAAAACUCAUCUGCUCCAUAGUCUCUGGUGGAGGAACUGGGUCACUGAGACGCAUUUUCCACCUGGACUCCUUUUUGGGUCACAUCACCCUCCCGACCAACGCUGACUACGAGGACACGCGAACACACGGUGGUCAUCAGAGUGGUUGACGGGGAUCCUGUUAGACCUCGAUCUGCUACCACUACAGUCACUAUUAAUAUCACAGAAGCAAAUGAUGAGCCUCCACUAUGUUGGCCCAAUAAGACAAAUCUAAUAGUUCCCAUUGAUCUUUGUGUUGGAUCAAACAUCCAAGGUUUGACCCUUCACUGCACAGAUAAGGCCUUCAAUCAUCUUCACAAUCUUCAGUACAGCAGAGUUGCAUAUUUAAGAUCAAUGUUUUGAACAGCAAACAAUCUCAAAGUACAGAUCUGUAGAGGAGAGUUUUAGGACUGUAAUGGGCUGCCUGAUAUUAUUGAGAAAUUAUACUUACCCUGUUUGAUAUAUCAGUUUUUACUAGACAAGAAUGAGAAAAAAUCUCCAGUAAUCUCAUAUGUGUCUCCUCUUGGGAAAAUCAAAUGAUCUGGGCUGCUAUCCAUAUUCAUUUUAUAGCUCUAUACUCUCACUGUAUGUCAACUAUUGACUCCCAAGACAUUUAGGAGACAUUUGAUACUUAAAUAAGACAUAAAUGAGAUCUCUAUUAAAUCAUCUGAGCUAUAAAAACAUUGUCUCGGAAGGAAAUAUGAGCUGAACACUUUGGUUAUGCACUCAAAUGCAGCAACAUCACAGUCAUGUGGUUUUGUGAGUUAGCAAACUUCACUAUGAUCAUAUUUCACAUUUUCACACUAGCUCAACAUCCUAGUAACCACCCAGAACAACUUGGCAGCAAGUUUUGCAUGUGCAAACCACACAACAUCUACAGGUGCUGGUCAUAUAAUUAGAAUA